UUGACAUCCAGCGAACUUGGCAGAGAUGCCUUGGUGCCUUCGGAACGCUGAGACAGGUGCUGCAUGGCUGUCGUCAGCUCGUGUUGUGAAAUGUUGGGUUAAGUCCGCAACGAGCGCAACCCUUAUCCUUUGUUGCCAGCGAUUCGGUCGGGAACUCAAAGGAGACUGCCGGUGAUAAACCGGAGGAAGGUGGGGAUGACGUCAAGUCAUCAUGGCCCUUACGAGUAGGGCUACACACGUGCUACAAUGGCGCAUACAAAGAGAAGCGACCUCGCGAGAGCAAGCGGACCCCAUAAAGUGCGUCGUAGUCCGGAUCGGAGUCUGCAACUCGACUCCGUGAAGUCGGAAUCGCUAGUAAUCGUGGAUCAGAAUGCCACGGUGAAUACGUUCCCGGGCCUUGUACACACCGCCCGUCACACCAUGGGAGUGGGUUGCAAAAGAAGUAGGUAGCUUAACCUUCGGGAGGGCGCUUACCACUUUGUGAUUCAUGACUGGGGUGAAGUCGUAACAAGGUAGGCGUAGCGAG
rnacentral:rRNA from 1 species